GCCCCCUCCCCCGGGAUAGCCGCCCGAAAGGACGGGUAAUACCGGAUACCCCGGGGUGCCGCAUGGCACCCCGGCUAAAGCCCCGACGGGAGGGGAUGGCUCCGCGGCCCAUCAGGUAGACGGCGGGGUGACGGCCCACCGUGCCGACAACGGGUAGCCGGGUUGAGAGACCGACCGGCCAGAUUGGGACUGAGACACGGCCCAGACUCCUACGGGAGGCAGCAGUGGGGAAUCUUGCGCAAUGGGGGGAACCCUGACGCAGCGACGCCGCGUGCGGGACGGAGGCCUUCGGGUCGUAAACCGCUUUCAGCAGGGAAGAGUCGAGACUGUACCUGCAGAAGAAGCCCCGGCUAACUACGUGCCAGCAGCCGCGGUAAUACGUAGGGGGCGAGCGUUAUCCGGAUUCAUUGGGCGUAAAGCGCGCGUAGGCGGCCCGGCAGGCCGGGGGUCGAAGCGGGGGGCUCAACCCCCCGAAGCCCCCGGAACCUCCGCGGCUUGGGUCCGGUAGGGGAGGGUGGAACACCCGGUGUAGCGGUGGAAUGCGCAGAUAUCGGGUGGAACACCGGUGGCGAAGGCGGCCCUCUGGGCCGAGACCGACGCUGAGGCGCGAAAGCUGGGGGAGCGAACAGGAUUAGAUACCCUGGUAGUCCCAGCCGUAAACGAUGGACGCUAGGUGUGGGGGGACGAUCCCCC
rnacentral:rRNA from 1 species